GGCCUAUUAGUUCAGUUGGUUAGAGCGUGGUGCUAAUAACGCCAAGGUCGCAGGUUCGAGACCUGCAUGGGCCA
rnacentral:tRNA from 1 species